rnacentral:rRNA from 1 species
UACGUAGGGUGCGAGCGUUAAUCGGAAUUACUGGGCGUAAAGGGCGCGUAGGCGGAUAGUUUAGUCAGAGGUGAAAGCCCAGGGCUCAACCCUGGAAUUGCCUUUGAUACUGGCUAUCUUGAGUUCGGGAGAGGUGAGUGGAAUGCCGAGUGUAGAGGUGAAAUUCGUAGAUAUUCGGCGGAACACCAGUGGCGAAGGCGACUCACUGGCCCGAUACUGACGCUGAGGCGCGAAAGCGUGGGGAGCAAACAGG